GUGGGGAAUAUUGGACAAUGGGCGCAAGCCUGAUCCAGCCAUGCCGCGUGAGUGAUGAAGGCCCUAGGGUUGUAAAGCUCUUUCACCGGUGAAGAUAAUGACGGUAACCGGAGAAGAAGCCCCGGCUAACUUCGUGCCAGCAGCCGCGGUAAUACGAAGGGGGCUAGCGUUGCUCGGAAUUACUGGGCGUAAAGGGCGCGUAGGCGGACAGUUUAGUCAGAGGUGAAAGCCCAGGGCUCAACCUUGGAAUUGCCUUUGAUACUGGCUGUCUUGAGUACGGGAGAGGUGAGUGGAACUCCGAGUGUAGAGGUGAAAUUCGUAGAUAUGCGGAGGAACACCGAUGGCGAAGGCAAUCCCCUGGACCUGUACUGACGCUCAUGCACGAAAGCGUGGGGAGCAAACAGGAUUAGAUACCCGUGUAGUCC
rnacentral:rRNA from 1 species